rnacentral:lncRNA from 1 species
AAGCUAUUUUAGAGUGUUUCAGUGUGUUUUGACAUAAAAAUCCAAAAAUCUCAUAAAAAUUUGAAAAAUUGUUUUGAAAAACCCAAAAAGAGUUGUUUUUGUAUGUUUAUUUUGUGUCUUAGGGUACCUUCCAACACAAUGAUGAGGAUUUGGUUUUUAAUUACAUGACUGUUAAAGAGAGUUAUAAACAUGGAUGAAAGUUUGAUAUGCUCUUUGGUUUAUGCUUGGUUGUAGUUAUAAUUUAUGAAUUCACAUGUAAUCAUAAAGAAAAAAAGCAGUUUUUGUAACAUGCUUGAAGGAAGGAACUCAAACAAACGCUACAACCCUGUGAGACUUGAGCCUAAAACGUUAUUUGGAGAGUUAAAAUCUGUGCAUUAUUGUUUUCUAAAGUCGUUGCAUGAUCUCAUUUUUCUUUGCUUGGUUACUACUUAGAAGGCGUUUCAUCAUUUAGUUCCAAAUGCUAGAACUCAUGCCCAUUUCAUUCAAAGCAUGAUAUUGAUUUGCAUAACACAUAUUCAAGAUGAAGUUGUGUAGUUACCACCACCAAAGCCAAAUUGCCGUGUAUCCUACUUCAUUAUAUGUUUAAGGUAACCCCGUUGAGCCUUGUUUAGCCUACGUUCUUUGUUAACCCACACUAUCCUCACCUAGCCUAGAUUAGGACCAUCCAUACCCUUGUUCUUAAAGCAUAGUAAAGUAUGACUCAAAAUGAAUUCCUUUUGAUUAAUGUAUUGCAGAAAAUAAGUGUGGGGGAAGUGUUUCUCAUGUAAGUAGUGUGCCAUAGGCACGGGUGGAAAGAAAGAAAAAAAAAGUUGAAUUUGACCCUAAGAGUUGUUUAAAUCUUUCCCUUAUGUCUAAAAGUUGGUUUCUGCAAUCUAAGUGAAUUCUAAGUUCAAGUUCAUUAUUUUAUUUGCUAUUGCUUUAAGAACGUUUGUUUUCCCUUAUCUUCAUUUGUUAGCCAACACCCCAAGCCCUGUUACAACCUUUGACUUCAAUCUUGAGUGUUAUGUGUUUCAAUUUGUGGAGUUUGAAUUUGGUAUGAGCAUAUGGUGUCACUGGUUCUCGCAUCUAAGUAGUAGCAUUUCAUUCAUGAGAUCAUAUCUAAACAUGCUUAAUAACUCCAGAAAUCGCUUUCUUUGUAAUACAUAUAUGUGAGCGUUCGUUUUCAUGUUUACAUCAAUCUUCUCACAUAUAACUAGUAUAGGGUGUGUAGUUAGAAAAUCUGAGUGAAAAUUGAGUGAAUAUCUCGUAAGGACUUGAACAAAUUCUCUAAGGCAUGUUACUACAUUCAAAAUCAUAUUUUAAUUGGUUAAAUGUGAACUAGUACGUGGUGACUAUGAUUAAGUAUGUGCUUAAGUGUGAAGAUGACUCAAAUCUGUGGGGAUAAUGAUUUUUAACAUGUCAUGUGCAUUGGAAAUCCCUGAGGCAAUUGUUGGAAGGUUUAGGUUGUGUUUUAUUUGUUUUGUUUCGUUUUAUUUCUUUGUUUGCUCGAGGACUAGCAAAAGCUAAGUGUGGGGGAAUUUGAUAGGAGCAUUUUUAUGCGACUUAAUUGGCUUGUUCUCGUACGUUUACGUUGUGUUUCUUUAGUUAUUUUAGUGUUUAAAGUCACUUUUAUGUGUUUUCAGGUUUUAAAGACAAAGUAUGCAUACAUGUGCAUUUUGGAGUCGUUUGGAGCAGUUUUUGUGCAUCAAAUGGAUUGCAUAUGCUUGGAGAUAAGAAGAUGGACGAAAUUGAAGAUCAAAUGAGCUUAGGAUUGAAUGAUGAUGUGAAGAAUUGGAUUCAAGACAAAUAAAGAACGAAGUGUUCAAAAAUAAGCAACCAGC